UACGUAGGGACCGAGCGUUGUCCGGAAUCAUUGGGCGUAAAGAGCGUGUAGGCGGCCACUUAAGUCCUGCGUGAAAUCUUGCGGCUCAACCGCAAGCGGUCGUGGGAAACUGGGUGGCUAGAGUGCGGGAGAGGAGAGUGGAAUUCCUGGUGUAGCGGUGGAAUGCGCAGAUAUCAGGAGGAACACCAACGGCGAAGGCAGCUCGCUGGGACGGUACUGACGCUGAGGCGCGAAAGCGUGGGGAGCAAACAGG
rnacentral:rRNA from 1 species